ensembl:lncRNA
GGCUGACCAGAUUCAGAGGUUAAGACCAGAUUCAGAGGUUAAGAACAGAUUCAGAGGUUAAGGCCAGAUUCAGAGGUUAAGGCCAGAUUCAGAGGUUAAGGCCAGAUUCAGAGGUUAAGGCCAGAUUCAGAGGUUAAGGCCAGAUUCAGAGGUUAAGGCCAGAUUCAGAGGUUAAGUAGAGGUUAAGGCCAGCUGGAGAGGUUAAGGCCAGCUGGAGAGGUUAAGGCCAGCUGGAGAGGUUAAGGCCAGAUGGAGAGGUAGAGGUUAAGACCAGAUGGAGAGGUAGAGGUUAAGACCAGAUGGAGAGGUUAAGACCAGAUGGAGAGGUUAAGGUAGAGGUUAAGACCAGAUGGAGAGGUUAAGGCCAGACGGAGAGGUUACGGCCAGACGGAGAGGUUACGGCCAGACGGAGAGGUUACGGCCAAACGGAGAGGUUACGGCCAGACGGAGAGGUUACGGCCAGACGGAGAGGUUACGGCCAGACGGGGAGGUUAAGGCCAGAUGGAGAGGUUAAGACCAGAUGGAGAGGUUAAGGUAGAGGUUAAGACCAGAUGGAGAGGUUAAGGUAGAGGUUAAGGCCAAAUGGAGAGGUUAAGGCCAGACGGAGAGGUUACGGCCAGACGGAGAGGUUAAGACCAGACGGAGAGGUUAAGACCAGACGGAGAGGUUAAGACCAGACGGAGAGGUUAAGACCAGACGGAGAGGUUAAGACCAGACGGAGAGGUUAAGACCAGAUGGAGGUUAAGACCAGAUGGAGAGGUUAAGGUAGAGGUUAAGGCCAAAUGGAGAGGUUAAGGCC